rnacentral:rRNA from 1 species
AGAGUUUGAUUCUGGCUCAGGAUGAACGCUGGCGGCGUGCCUAACACAUGCAAGUCGAGCGAUUCUCUUCGGAGAAGAGCGGCGGACGGGUGAGUAACGCGUGGGUAACCUGCCUCAUACACAUGGAUAACAUACCGAAAGGUAUGCUAAUACAAGAUGAUAUAAGAGAUUCGCAUGGAUUUCUUAUCAAAGCUCCGGCGGUAUGAGAUGGACCCGCGUCUGAUUAGCUAGUUGGUAAGGUAACGGCUUACCAAGGCGACGAUCAGUAGCCGACCUGAGAGGGUGAUCGGCCACAUUGGAACUGAGACACGGUCCAAACUCCUACGGGAGGCAGCAGUGGGGAAUAUUGCACAAUGGGCGAAAGCCUGAUGCAGCAACGCCGCGUGAGCGAUGAAGGCCUUCGGGUCGUAAAGCUCUGUCCUCAAGGAAGAUAAUGACGGUACUUGAGGAGGAAGCCCCGGUUAACUACGUGCCAGCAGCCGCGGUAAUACGUAGGGGGCUAGCGUUAUCCGGAUUUACUGGGCGUAAAGGGUGCGUAGGUGGUUUCUUAAGUCAGGAGUGAAAGGCUACGGCUCAACCGUAGUAAGCUCUUGAAACUGGGAAACUUGAGUGCAGGAGAGGAAAGUGGAAUUUCUGGUGUAGCGGUGAAAUGCGUAGAUAUUAGGAGGAACACCAGUAGCGAAGGCGGCUUUCUGGACUGUAACUGACACUGAGGCACGAAAGCGUGGGGAGCAAACAGGAUUAGAUACCCUGGUAGUCCACGCCGUAAACGAUGAGUACUAGGUGUCGGGGGUUACCCCCCUCGGUGCCGCAGCUAACGCAUUAAGUACUCCGCCUGGGGAGUACGCUCGCAAGAGUGAAACUCAAAGGAAUAGACGGGGGCCCGCCCAAGCGGAGGAACAUGUGGUUUAAUUCGAUGAUACGCGAGGAACCUUACCCGGGCUCGAACGGUGCAUGAAUAUACGAGAAAUAGUAUAGUCCUUCGGGACAUGUAUCGAGGUGCUGCAUGGUUGUCGUCAGCUCGUGCCGUGAGGGGUCGGCUUAAGUGCCAUAACGAGCGCAACCCCCGUCAUUAGUUGCCAUCAGGUCAAGCUGGGGACUUUAAUGAGACUGCCACCGUAAGGUGUGAGGAAGGGGGGGAGGACGUCAAAUCAGCACGGCCCUUAUGUCCGGGGCGACACACGUGCUACAAUGGGAGGUACAGAGGGCAGCUAUCCGGUGACGGAAUGCUAAUCUCCAAAACCCUUCUCAGUUCGGAUUGGAGUGUGCAACUCGACUCCACGAAGGUGGAUUCGCUAGUAAUCGCGCAUCAGCCAUGGCGCGGUGAAUAAGUUCCCGGGCCUUGUACUCACCGCCCGUCA